ACCUACGGGGGGCAGCAGUCGCGAAAACUUUGCAAUACACGAAAGUGUGACAGGGCUAUCCCGAGUGCCAUCCGCUGAGGAAGGCUUUUACCCAGUCUAGAAAGCUGGGGGAAUAAGGAGAGGGCAAGUCUGGUGUCAGCCGCCGCGGUAAUACCAGCUCUCCGAGUGGUGUGGAUGUUUAUUGGGCCUAAAGCAUCCGUAGCUGGCUAAGUUAGUCCCUUGUUAAAUCCACCGAAUUAAUCGUUGGAUCGCGGGGGAUACUGCUUGGCUAGGGGACGAGAGAGGCAGACGGUAUUUUCGGGGUAGGGGUGAAAUCCUAUAAUCCCGGGAAGACCACCAGUGGCGAAGGCUGUCUGCUAGAACGCGCCCGACGGUGAGGGAUGAAAGCUGGGGGAGCGAACCGGAUUAGAUACCCGAGUAGUCC
rnacentral:rRNA from 1 species